UACGAAGGGGGCUAGCGUUGCUCGGAAUCACUGGGCGUAAAGCGCACGUAGGCGGCUUUCUAAGUCAGGGGUGAAAUCCCGGAGCUCAACUCCGGAACUGCCUUUGAUACUGGAAAGCUUGAGUUCGGGAGAGGUGAGUGGAACUGCAAGUGUAGAGGUGAAAUUCGUAGAUAUUCGCAAGAACACCAGUGGCGAAGGCGGCUCACUGGCCCGAUACUGACGCUGAGGUGCGAAAGCGUGGGGAGCAAACAGG
rnacentral:rRNA from 1 species